UAUCAUUGGUAGUCAGAACACGGAAUUGUCAGACACAGCCAUAGUAGGCUCCCAUAGCUCCCCACAAUAGUGGCCCUGGUGGUCACUAAAAACCAUCUGUUUGGACUCUGGCCUCUUGUCCAACUGCACAAACACAGCCAUGGUGAAGAAAGGACAUCCAAUCUGGCCUAAGAAGAGACCUACUGGAUCACAUAGAAGUCCUAUCCUGUUUUGUACAGUGCCCAACCAGAUGUCUUGAGGGAAGCCCACACACAGGGUGUGAGGGGAAAGCCCUUUCGCAAUGGUUCCUCAAAACUGGCAUGGUGCCUCUUAUCCUAUAGCUAUCACGAUUAGUAGCUAUUGCCCUCUGUAAUGCAAACUUAUUUGGGUCCCUUGGGUUCAUAACUUUGCACAUUAGAAUAAAAUUGGCAACAUCCAAUUAACCUGUUUGACAUACUGGCUCGUAUCUCCAGCUCACACCUCAAACUUGUGUAAACAGUUAAAUCUGCAUUGCCCUUAAGGCAACUGGUUCGCAUCACAAAAUUCUGCAAUGCCUUUGAGCCAACUGGUACAAUAACCCUAUUGGGGGAGUUUGCUUUCACCCCUACAAUCUGAUUUCCUCACAUCCAGACACCAAGUCACAGUCUGUAAGAUUACCUAAGACUUAAUUGUCUGUCUGUUGGAGCUGUGCUGGAGGAUGGAGACUUUAAAAUCUUACUGGAAGAGGACUGGAUGUUAAAAUCCCAUUGGAAAAGGGUUCUGUGAAUUAUGAACUUUUAAACUGGACUUAUUUUUGCCUUUGGGGUUUAUUUCAACUAGAUUUCUGUGAUCCAUGACAUCCUUUUGACUUGCCUCCAGUUUAAAUAACUUCCCUAAUGUUGUGGCCUUUAAAUAAUCUGCCAUUUGCUCCUGGUGCAGCUUAUUGGUUCACAAUGGUUCUGUGAUUGGUUCAUAAAUCCUAUGUCCCGUGUAGAGUUUUGUCACUGCAGAGUGAUUACAACACCAUUAGGCUCCAGAAAGCUUCAAUUAUUCUGUGUAAUGCCUUGUGUGUAGAGGGUCCUACAUCUGAUUGCAUGAGCAAUACUGAACUAACCAUUUUGCAAAGUAAGCUCAGGAUUGUUCUGCCAGUUUAGAUCCUCUAUAUUGGAAUGUAAUCACCUGUGAGCACUACGGUUAUGGGAGAAGUCAUUGUCUUGCUGCUACUGCUGUCCCACUUAAAAAAUUUAAAAGCUUCUCAGCAUGUGGAGGUGUUCCAUUAUCACAGGACAGGGAACCAGUAGCUGUGGCCCAGGUUGAAUUAAAAGCUAAAUAACUUCUCUACCCACUGUGAGGAGCAGAAUGAAAUCUACUGUCCCCGCUGCUGUGCAAAAAUUAUUAGCAACUAGUCAGGAGGAGAGAGGCUAUUAAAAGACAUCUUCAAAAAACAGCUAUAUUGUUGUUGUUUAGUCGUUUAGUCAUGUCCGACUCUUCAUGACCCCAUGGACCAGAACACGCCAGGCACUCCUGUCUUCCACUGCCUCCUGCAGUUUGGUCAAACUCAUGUUCGUAGCUUCAAGAACACUGUUCAACCAUCUCGUCCUCUGUCGUCCCCUUCUCCUUGUGCCCUCAAUCUUUCCCAACAUCAGGGUCUUUUCCAGGGAGUCUUCUCUUCUCAUGAGGUGGCCAAAUUAUUGGAGCCUCAGCUUCAUGAUCUGCCCUUCCAGUGAGCACUCAGGGCUGAUUUCCUUAAGAAUGGAUGCGUUUGAUCUUCUUGCAGUCCAUGGGACUCUCAAGAGUCUCCUCCAGCACCAUAAUUCAAAAGCAUCAAUUCUUCAGCGAUCAGCCUUCUUUAUGGUCCAGCUCUCACUUCCAUACAUCACUACUGGGAAAACCAUGGCUUUAACUAUACGGACCUUUGUUGGCAAGGUCAACAGCUAUAUACUGCUAGGCUAAUGAAACUAAAUAUAGAUAUUGAUGCAAUAGUAGUAAUAAUAAUUUUUCACCCCUCAGCUCAGCACCCUGUGGGGGGGAGACCACCCACACCACCCUAAAUCCAGUGCUGAUAAGGAUCCAGUAGGUUCUGCAUGACACCAAACCUGCAGUAGGGCACUGGACUAGAUCAGUGGUUCCCAACCUUUUUUUUUUUUUUUUUGCUAUGCCCCACCUAAGCAUCUCUAAAAUCCUGAUGCCCCCUCCUUGACAUUUAAUUCUUAUAAUUCAAAAAGUGAGCUCCUAUUCAUGUGGAGGAAGCCUAAAAGGCAAUUCACUGUUAAUAACUCAUUCUCAAGUUAUUAAUGCCUCCCUUAAAAUUCAAAUUGCCCCCCUGUGGGGCAUGUGCCCCAUGUUGGGAACCAUGGGACUAGAUGAUCAUCAAGUUCUCUUCCAGCUCUGUCAUUCACUAUGGAUGGCAUUGGUUGUCAUCUGGGUAAUACAAAAUUGCAGCUUCUGUUACACCAAAGUUUUGGUUAUAUAGACUCCAUGUGUCUCUUCCAGUGAACAAACAUACGUGGGACCCUGCCACCAACAGCCAUCCAGCUCCAUGGUAGUGAUAAAGCUGGAAUUAACUAAAAGAUAGAAUCCCAUACCAUAUGAAUAUAUGACCUAAAUAAUCCAUCUAUUAAGGGUGCGGCUCUUAAUGGCUCUAAUUUCCCAGCAUUUUGUAGUUUGAGUGAACGUGGAAGACCCUUAACAGAAAAUGUUAAACUAAAAUGUUUUGGGUUAUUUUGUUAAUUGAAUAAAUAAAAUAUCUAUUCUUCCCAAAGUUGUCUUGAGAUACUGCUACAUAGUAAAUUAUGCAUUAGCACUCAGAAUUACUGCAGUUCUGGUGGUUUAAAUGGCACAGUGUUCUGUGCUCAAAUAAAUCUUUUCAUAUUUCUUAAUUAUUGUAUUUGUGUCAGAAAUCAGGCUAGGCUUAACGAGAAAUUAGUGGCUAAUAAAAGCUCCCCUUGGAAACAGAGUAAGUUUGGGGUUUUCUGUUUGCUGAUGAGCUGUUAUGUUGUACACACCAGUACCUGAUUUGUGAGCACAAAAUACAUGGUUCAUUAGUCCUUUUCACAAGCUAAGUACCCACUGCUCCUAAUGCAAAUGCAAAUCACUUUUUAAUGGUCAAGCUGACGAGAUAGGGAGUGCUUUUGUUAGAGCUAUGACUUGUAGUUAAUUAAGCCAAUUAGCAUUUGAUGUAGGCACCUUUUCCAGGCUCUCAAGAGAUGGUGAGACACUAGGCAGAAAUGUGACAGCAAGAAACAGAAAGUAGGUCAGAAAUGGAUUCAAAUCUAUUCUGCACCCCUCCACUAAAGUUCUUGCUAGAAUAUUAUAAUGGGCUUCUUUUUCCAGGAAAAGGACACCGGAAUCUUUGGCCCCAGCUGCGCUCUACAAUUCAAGCAGUAUCAUACCACUUU
rnacentral:lncRNA from 1 species